CUUAAGCCUACAAAAUUAUCGUCGCUAGUUCCCCUUUUUUAGUGUUGUACAAAAGGCGACGACAAUGAAAACUUCGUUGCUUAUUGUCAAACUAGUUGUCAUCAUUUCAAUCCUAAUUUUUAUAUUGACGAAGCCUCUUGAAGCUCUGGGUCCGAUGCCACCGAUAGGUUGUCACCGUCGUAAACUUUUUAGUUAUCCUACUUGUGAGUCACCUCCUUAAACUUGAUUUUCUUGAUAUUUUGUAAGAUGCUCGAGUUUAUAUUACUCAAAUUGGAGUGGAAGUGUAAAAUAAAGAUGUAUUUUAUAUAUAGGGGUAAAUCUAAAAGAGAAAUCAGGGCCCCUUGCCCCCUUAAUAAAACAAGUAUAUUGCAAGUUUAGACCCUCUUCUUAAUAAGUAAUACAGUUUAAUAUUUUUAGCAUUAAAUUUUUUAAAUUCCCAAUAAUCUAUAUUAUUCUGGUCCUCAAUCGAAGUUUCUUGACUUCACCCUUGUUGUUAUGGAUAUAUUUAAUUUGUAAUUUUUUUUUCUUUAUGUUUGGAGCUUCAUUGGAAGCUCAUUAUUUCAUAUGAAUGCAC
rnacentral:lncRNA from 1 species